rnacentral:sRNA from 1 species
CAAACAUACAUGUUUAUUUUUUGAACAGGAAGCAUAUUUUAAUAGAACAUCUUGGAAUAUUCCAUACGUAAAUUUAGACGAAAUAACGCUGAGCUCGGGCAGAUAUGCACCUCGCAAUUUAAUGACACUUUUAAUGGCUAUAAAUACCUUAGGCGGAAAAAGAAGUAAAAGGAAAGAUAAUAGUGAUUGAAAACUUAAAUUAACUGUGACUGCAGCUUGAUCUGCAUUGGAUAAAAACGGUAGGAACGUAAUGCCAGAUAACGCAUAUUUUAAUAUCUUUAUUAAAAUAAUAUCCACGCAUAAUCUUGUUGCAAAUUAUAUGAGGAAUUGGUUUGUUGUAAAGAUUCCAAGAGGUGGGCGAUGUUAUGUUAUAAGCUUAAAAUUUCGACCAUAUAAAUAUAUAUUAAAUUUUUUGAACCAUUUUCUCUUCGACAAUGGACACCACCGGAGUGGCCUAAUCCGCAAACUCUACAAUCUCGAGUAUUCCUUGAACACAAAGACGGUCACAUUUUUAUUCAUAUGGCUUGACAUUUGGAAUACGAUGCAAUGACGAACUUACCGGCAGAAACUCGGAGUCAAUUUUAAGGGUGGUCUAGUGUAUCGAUCAAAUUCUUAAAGUUUUCUGUAAUGCUGCUACCUCACUUUACUUGCCGUAUAUUGACUUGCACCAUUUGCAACCUCAUCAAGGUGGUCAUUUAGUUACCUACGAACUCGUCGGGGUGCUUAUCUUGUUGGCAAAAAUGGUAAAAUGUCACAAUCUCCGAUUAUCGGGGUGGUAUAAAUAUUGGAAAAGUCGUUGUCAUAAGUGUGUAGUAACUGAGAAGGAUUAAUUUAAGAAAAAAGAUUGCUUCGA